UACGGCGGUCAUAGCGAAGGGGAAACGCCCGGUCCCAUUCCGAACCCGGAAGCUAAGCCCUUCAGCGCCGAUGGUACUGCGCGGGAGACUGCGUGGGAGAGUAGGUCGCCGCCGUGC
rnacentral:rRNA from 1 species